GUGAGAGGGGGCAGAUUUGCAUGAAGGGCGGUCUCAGCUCUGGAGUUUUAUAGGAGACUCAGAGGGUCCCAGCCAGGGACCCAUUUGUGUCAGGAAAUUGAACCAGUUUGGACUUGUCACCAUGGCCUGUGCCCUGCUCCUCCUGGCGCUGAUCACAUACUGUUCAGGGGUCUGGUCACAGCCUGUGGUGACUCAGGAGCCUGCGGUGUCCUCAGUGUCCCCAGGAGGGACUGUCACUCUGUCCUGCAGCCUGAGCACCGGAGCCAUCACCACCAGCAACUAUCCUGCCUGGUACCAGCAGAAACCUGGCUCUCCCCCUCGGCUGCUUAUAUACAACACCAACAACAGGCCCUCGGGGAUCCCCACCCGGUUCUCGGGGUCCAUAUCUGGUCAGAAGGCCGCCUUGACCAUCACGGGGGUUCAAUCUGACGAUGAUGCAGAUUAUUACUGUGCAGUGUGGGCUGGGAGUGCUCAGCACAGUGAUACAGUCAGAUGGGGAAGUGUGACAAAAUCUCUCAAUGCUCUGACUCCUCUGACUGGUGGAAAUAAUAGAAACAGAGAUUCAUAGAAAAUUAGGUUUGAAGGGGCCUCAGGAGUUAUCUAGUCCAACCCCUGCUCAACACUCUCCAACUAGGUCAUUCCAGCCAGCGCUUUGUUGAGCCAGGCCUUAAAAACCUCCAAGGAUGGAAAUCCCACCACCUCUCUAGGUAACUCCUCUUUCCACUGCACCAGUUUUCACAGCCUGCCCUGUACCUAGGACCACUAACUGCCUGGAGAGAGACAGCACCAGUAGCCUCCAUAUUUUCCCUCCAGGCCAACAGCCCCCUCUACACAGUUUCAUAGCUUCAUAGUAGGUAGGGCUAGAAGGGACCUUGACAAAUCAUCAGGUCCGACCCCCUGCCAUGGCAGAAAACAGCACUGGGGUCAAACGACCCCAGCAAGGUGUUCAUCCAGCCUCCUCUUAAAGACCCCCAGGGUAGGAGCCAGCACCACUUCUCUUGGAAGUUGGUUCCAGAUCCUAGCCGCCCUAACAGUGAAGUAGCGCCUCCUGAUGUCUAGUCUGAA